CCCCUUGAACUUCCCCGCGCCGCCCACUACCUUGGCUGUGUCAGCGCAAGCUGACUACGCUCGUAGACCGACCAUUGACUACCUUUGCAGGACGGGGGUGCGAUACCCCCCGCCUCCACCAAUCAACGGAUCAUUGCCGUGGCUUGGGGGCGAAACAGGAUCGACUGGGGGGGAAAGGUGACUCGUGCGGGCCGGUGAGCUACCACCGUUAUCGGUGCAAGCAUGAUAGUUGCCAAUGACAACCGUGCUCCGGUGGCUCUGGCUGCGUAAGCAGUUCGAGUACCGAAAACUAAGUCCUGUCCUCUAGCCAGGCCAGGCGGGGUUCGCAGGUACCUGGCAACAGAAACCUGCACU
rnacentral:tmRNA from 1 species